rnacentral:ncRNA from 2 species
CACCUCAAGAAAUAUGCGCGCUAACCUAGACCCCACAAAGGGUGCUGAUCGAUUAAGACAGCAGGACAGUGGUCAUGGAAGUCAAAAUCCGCUAAGGAGUGUCUAACAACUCACCUGCCGAAUCAACUAGCCCCGAAAAUAGAUGGCGCUAAAGCGCGCGACCUAUACCCGGCCGUCGGGGCAAGGGCCAGGCCCCGAUG